rnacentral:rRNA from 1 species
CAGUAGCCGCGGGAAAACAGAGGAUGCAAGCGUUAUCCGGAAUGAUUGGGCGUAAAGCGUCUGUAGGUGGCUUUUCAAGUCCGCCGUCAAAUCCCAGGGCUCAACCCUGGACAGGCGGUGGAAACUACCAAGCUGGAGUACGGCAGGGGCAGAGGGAAUUUCCGGUGGAGCGGUGAGAUGCGUUGAGAUCGGAAAGAACACCAACGGCGAAAGCACUCUGCUGGGCCGACACUGACACUGAGAGACGAAAGCUAGGGGAGCAAAUGGGAUUAGAGACCCCAGUAGUCCCUGUCUCUUAUAC